UGUGGCCUCAGAGUCUUUAGCUACUGGGGAUAUGUUGGGCCUAGAAGGUGGCAAACUAUUUAAGGAACCUCUUUCCUAGGCUCAGUUCUGUGAAAAUACAGAGGACGCCCAAGCCAUGAAUGGGCUGCCCUCAUAAGGCCACAUGUAUAAGAAAGGAGGGCAUGAUGAAAGAUGUGGAACUGAGCGUGUGACAGUCCACACAAGCUGAAAGGGCUCAGACGAUCCCCGGACCCUGUUGGCUCGAUACACCACGGGAGACGGGGUGGAGAUACUGGAUCCUCUGCUGUGAAACCAGCCUCAGGCAGGAUCACACACGACAUCCAGUCAUCAUGUCUCCUUUGCCUACAGUUGAGAGAAUUUCUCAAACCUUCCUCGCUUCUGAUGACCUUGACAGUUUUGAGGAAUGCCGGUCAGGUUCCCUGCCAGUCUGCUCUCCUGGAAGGAUGACCGUGUGGCCCAAUGCCACAGUCCCCAGGCAUUGGUAGAGGUCCCUGACGGGUGGCUCUGCACAACUCUGAAGGAUACGGAUAGGUAUAGAGAGAAGACCAUGUGAAGACAAAGAGAGAGAGUGGCCAUCUGGAAACCAAGGAGAGGGGGUCUCAGAAGAAACAACCCCGCCGACACCUUGAUCUUGGACUUCCAGUCUCCACAAUGGUGAGGAAGCAAAUUUCUGUUAUUUAAGCCACCCAGUCGGUAUUUUGUUUUGGCAGCCCUAACAAACUAAAACACUCUUCCAGAUGAUGUGGCAGAGAGGAUGUGCAGAGGGGCCAAGAGAACAGUGUCUUAGAUGCUUCCAGUUUUCCCAGCUCUUCAUGAACUCUCAAGGUUGGUGGUAUCCCUUUGGCAUCUCUAGUUCUUUUUGCUUCAGGUAGCUAUCAACCUCAUCUGCUUUUGGUGGUUAGCCUAAGUAGCUAGUAAAUAGAGUGUUUCUACUCUUUUUUUUUUUUUUUUUUUUUGAGACGGAGUUUCACUCGUUACCCAGGCUGGAGUGCAAUGGCGCAAUCUCGGCUCACAGCAACCUCCGCCUCCUGGGUUCAGGCAAUUCUCCUGCCUCAGCCUCCCCAGUAGCUGGGAUUACAGGCACGCGCCACCACGCCCAGCUAAUUUUUUGUAUUUUUAGUAGAGAUGGGGUUUCACCAUGUUGACCAGGAUGGUCUCGAUCUCUUGACCUCGUGAUCCACCCACCUUGGCCUCCCGAGUGUUUCUACUCUUAAUCUUAU
rnacentral:lncRNA from 13 species